GAGCAUAUUUAAACCUGACCAGGCCGCUCAGCGUGGGACACUUUUGCUGGUCAGCAAUGUGUGUGGAGUUUGGUUUGCUGUGUGUAAUUGCAGUUGGCUUCCCCAGCCUUACUCCUGAUGAACCCCACGCUAGACCCAAGGAGCAGCAUUCCCCAAGUUACUCAUCAAAACGAGAGGACCGAUUCGACAGGCUGCUGAAGAUAAAGCAACACCCUGGAUGUGCCACCACGGUUUGUGUACUAUCUCCCUCAAAAGAAGAAAACCCACAAACAUCAGGAAUUAUUCUGUCUGAAGUGAAAAAGAUGAGCGAAGAGCAUUCACC
rnacentral:lncRNA from 1 species